CGAUGAUCACCUGACAUUCCUGGGUGGUAUUCUGCUGACACUCAACAGACAUUGUCUUCAAAAUGUACUCUCAAGUGGUCAGGAUCCUAUUCUCAUGGUACUAUUUCCUCGCUUAGAAAAUAAAGGAUGAAAUGAACUACACUAUUGGAGCUACUAUAAAGAUGAAAGAAGAUGAAAGUUUUCAGUAGGAUUGUUGCCAUGUAGUAAACCCCUUAUAAAUAGUAUGUAUAAUAAUUUGUCACAUGCUGUUAGGUUAAGCCAUCAACAACAAACAUGGCAAUAAUUCAAGUUCAAAAAUACAGACGGGUUUGAAUUAACAUUGCACAAUGAUUUGUUUGUGUUUUCUUGUUUUUCCAAAUUCAGUGUUAUAUUCUACUUUCAUAUUUUGUGAGCAUUUAUUAACUGAACGACUGCCACAUGCAUGGCAGUGUGCUAAAUAUUUGAGUGCAUUAUGAUUUCACCCAUUAUGGGGUUUAAAUCCAUCUGAAAAGUAAAGAUUAAGACCCAUGAAUCUGUGCAUAAUUCAAAUGAUACUUAUUCACGUGUAUUGUGUGGUAGAGAAAAUGAAUGUAUAGGAAAGAAAGAGAAUGAAAGUGAAUGAGGAGGAAAAUUAAAUACAGUCAGGAAAGGCUUGAUAAAGGACUUAAGAACUUGAAUAUGAUUGUGAAACAUAGUUAUAAUUUCUAAGAACAGCUGAGGAAAAAAGCUUAAUUUGUAUAGUUUAUGAAGGAAUGCAUAUGUUUGUGUUUCACAGAAUUUAGAGUUAAGAAUACACACACACACUACACAGAAACUCAGAAAACCUAUGCUACUUGCUCAGGUAAUUAAUUACUAGUCAAUGGUAAAGUUCAAACUGAUGUCUAGGUCUCCUGCUCCUGUUCCAGUACAUUUUUACCGCAAUACAUUGAGUGAGCAAGCUUUCAAAAGCUUCUUGAAUUAUUCAUAUGGAUAUGGAAAAUCCUAUCUUACAACAUAAGGC
rnacentral:lncRNA from 10 species